UUGCUAUGAUGAUAUUCUAACUUAGUAGAGAGCAUUCAUUGGAUGCUUGAUGAAACUUCGACACUAGUGUCGAUCCUGAGCGGUUACCUGAGCAA